ACUUUUGAAAUUGUCGGCCCAAUUUCACACUUGACAGUCUCAGUCUAAUCCUCUUCUCUUCCAUUACUUUCGCCGUCUGCAAUUUCAUUUCGGUCAUCACCGCCAUCAAAUCACAAAAAACAAAUUCAUAAAAAAUGAAGAAGGGAAUUCACCCUCAGAUGCAGUGGAUUUCAUAUGUGACACAAAGUGGUAGACUAAUGCACAUUAUGAUGACUAAAAUUCACAAUGUUGGUAAAGUCUACCACUUCAGGGCAAGAAGGCAAAUGGCUGAAAGUUUAGGACAAGUUGCCAAGUUUAAGCGUCGAUAUGGACAGGAAGACUCUGAAGACACUGCAAAAUGACUUCUUUUAUGAGGCAAGGCAAAGCAUGGUAAUGGUGCUUAGUUUUCUUAUUCAUUUUGUUUCAAAAAAGACAAAAAUAUAGUGAGGGCUUUAGCAUGCAAUAAAAUAUUUUAUCUACGGGAACCCAAAUUUUGAGAACAGAUUAUUUUUGAAAUGCUUAAUUUUUGGAACAGUUAGUUAGCAACAGUCAUACCAUUGCUCAAUUAUAAUUAUUGCAAGAAGCUUUUUCAAAUUUAGUUCAUUUGGCUGCUAUGAAAGGAAAAUAUUAGGCAAACUUUGUACUUUUCUUGAUUUUAUAGCUUGUGUGUGAGGAAUAUAUUUCUCUUAUGAAUCUGUUAUCUGAUGAGUUUAAAGCUGAUAUUGUUUUCAGAA